AUUAGGCAGUAGGCGGGGUAACGACCCACCUACCCGACGAUGCGUAGGGGUUCUGAGAGGAAGGUCCCCCACACUGGUACUGAGACACGGACCAGACUCCUACGGGAGGCAGCAGUGAGGAAUAUUGGUCAAUGGUCGGGAGACUGAACCAGCCAAGCCGCGUGAGGGAUGAAGGUACAGAGUAUCGUAAACCUCUUUUGUCAGGGAACAAAGGCGGGGACGUGUCCCCGGAUGAGUGUACCUGAAGAAAAAGCAUCGGCUAACUCCGUGCCAGCAGCCGCGGUAAUACGGAGGAUGCGAGCGUUAUCCGGAUUUAUUGGGUUUAAAGGGUGCGCAGGCGGUCUGUUAAGUCAGCGGUCAAAGCCCGGGGCUCAACCCCGGCCCGCCGUUGAAACUGGCAGUCUCGAGUUGGAGAGAAGUAUGCGGAAUGCGCGGUGUAGCGGUGAAAUGCAUAGAUAUCGCGCAGAACUCCGAUUGCGAAGGCAGCAUGCCGGCUCCACACUGACGCUGAGGCACGAAAGCGUGGGUAUCGAACAGGAUUAGAUACCCUGGUAGUCCACGCAGUAAACGAUGAAUGCAGGCUGUCCGGG
rnacentral:rRNA from 1 species